AAAGAACAGGAAAGAAAACACAAAGGGAUCAAAAGAAGCUCCAGGAUUAACUCAAAGCUGAGCAGGAAGCUCUCUACGGUUCAAGAAAAAAUCCAUCCAAGACUCAAAAGUAUAAAGAAGUCACCUAGCUAGACACUCAAUUGGUGGUGUAAACCGUAGGGUGUCCAUUGGUGGAGCCAUGAUGCAAGCACCCAGAACAGACGUUGUAUUCGAAGAAUGUUCAUGCUGCCAAGAGAAUUGAAGACAUUGCCCGUUUGUCCCCUGUUUUGCUCCUCUUGAUGAUUGGAAGUUAGCAUUGCUCCUAUUAGAGCAACAGUAUACCAAAGCAAGAUCCAACCGAGCUAAGGAUGCUCUCUCUUGCUUUCCCAACAACUUCAGAAGAGAUUUUUGGAUCAGGUAUCAGGUCCAGAGCCGAUGGAGAGAAGCAACAUCAUGAUGCUGCUAUAUCUUAGUGGUCUUUCUUUCACAAUGGUGAUCUGCUUCUUAUCUGUUCUAGGUGUCACUGUCAUAGCUUGCUUGGCAUAACCUUCCUUCUUUUGAUGGUUGUCAACACACAUUUAAGUCACACAUACACCAUACAAGAUGCAGAGCCUUUGGUAUAUGCAGCCGCACUCCCUUGCCGCCACUUGCUACUUCAAGUCCG